rnacentral:rRNA from 1 species
GUGAACGCUGGCGGUGCGCCUAAAACAUGCAAGUCGAGUGGGUUAGACCCACGGCGAACGGCUGAGUAACACGUUGGUACCUACCCCAAACUCAGGGAUAACCCGCCGAAAGGCGGAGUAAUACCGGAUGAUCCCGCAAGGGUAAAGAUUUAUCGGUUUGGGAAGGGCCUGCGGCCUAUCAGAUAGUUGGUGAGGUAACGGCUCACCAAGUCUAUGACGGGUAGCUGGUUUGAGAGAACGACCAGCCAGAAUGGAACUGAGACACGGUCCAUACUCCUACGGGAGGCAGCAGUUAGGAAUCUUCCGCAAUGGGCGAAAGCCUGACGGAGCGACACCGCGUGAAGGAUGAAGGUCUUUUGAUCGUAAACUUCUGUUCUGAGGGACGAAAUUUUUGACGGUACCUCAGGAGAAAGCACCGGCUAAUUCUGU